rnacentral:lncRNA from 1 species
CUAAUUUCUUCUUAUGGUAAAAUUCUUUUUAUAUUCUCCUUGUAAAUCAGUAUUUCCUUAUGGUCCCCAAAGUCACUGGAUGAUGUCUGCAAACAUUUAUCACCAUCACAAUGGCCACUGUUACCACUUCAACCUACUGAAUAAAGACCAGGGAUUCUACUAAAUAUUCUACCAUGUACAAAAGAACCUCUCUACUCAGCCCAUCACAGAAUUAUCUGUCUUAAAUAGCAGUGUAAAGAUUUAAAAAAUCUACUUUAAAAUGAUCAUUUUGUUUUUAAAGAUAAGUGUUACUGAGGGCUUCAUAGUAUGUGUCCAUGCAUGCAUUCAUGUGCAAGUACAAAGGCACACACAAAUAUAGCAAUGUUUUAUAGGCAGACAAGUGGAAAAGAAGGCAAAGAGGACCUGGCAAUCACCAAGUGUAUGCAAAAGCCCUAAUCAACUGAGAUUGAAAACCUGGAGGAAAUUACUCACUGUAUUGAGGAAAAUCAAUGGAUUUACAGCUUGGAUUUAUACAGUAAGACAUCUUCACAGCAACAGAGAAAAUCCAGUCUUGUCACCUCAAAGAAAUUUUCUUUCCACUGACCACGUCUGCUUGAUGCAAUGGCAAGGUCCGGCAGACAUGGCAGCACAAGCUUGUAACCCAGAACUCCAGAGGCUGAGACAGGAGGUUUUCUGAGCAUUCAAGAACAGCCUGGGAUACAGCCUGGGCUAUAUAUUGAGUUCAAGGCCUGCCUGGAUUAUAUAAUGAGAUUCUGUCUUUAAAAAAAAAAUACAUAAAUAAAAAGGAAGGAAGGAAGGAAGGGAGGAAGGAAGAGAAAGAAAGAAAUAAAGAGAAAGAAGGAAGAAAAAAGAAAGAAAAAGAG